rnacentral:hammerhead_ribozyme from 1 species
AUCCAGUUGACGAGUCCCAAAUAGAAAAAAAUGCGCGUCCUGGAU